UGCCCUUCACAGGGGGAUAACCGGGAGAAAUUCCGACUAAUACCGCAUACGUCCCUUGGGGGCAUCCCCUGGGGAUGAAAGAAUUAUCGGUGAAGGAUGGGCAUGCGUGAUAUUAGGUAGUUGGCGGGGCAACGGCCCACCAAGCCCACGAUAUCUAGGGGUUCUGAGAGGAAGGUCCCCCACAUUGGUACUGAGACACGGACCAAACUCCUACGGGAGGCAGCAGUGAGGAAUAUUGGUCAAUGGACGAGAGUCUGAACCAGCCAAGUCGCGUGAAGGAAGACGGAUCUAUGGUUUGUAAACUUCUUUAGUGCGGGAACAAAGCGGCGUCGAGACGCCUGAUGAGUGUACCGCAAGAAUAAGCAUCGGCUAACUCCGUGCCAGCAGCCGCGGUAAUACGGAGGAUGCGAGCGUUAUCCGGAUUUAUUGGGUUUAAAGGGAGCGCAGGCUGCGGGGCAAGUCAGCGGUCAAAUGUCGGGGCUCAACCCCGGCCUGCCGUUGAAACUGUCCUGCUAGAGUUCGAGUGAGGUAUGCGGAAUGCGUUGUGUAGCGGUGAAAUGCAUAGAUAUGACGCAGAACUCCGAUUGCGAAGGCAGCAUACCAACUCGCGACUGACGCUGAGGCUCGAAAGCGUGGGUAUCGAACAGGAUUAGAUACCCUGGUAGUCCACGCAGUAAACGAUGAAUACUAACUGUUCGGAGGGCGACCUCUGAGUGGUAAAG
rnacentral:rRNA from 1 species